UCUUAAGUGGAGCUCUAACUUAUACCAUCAUCCUUAAUGUCCCGGUUUUCUUAUUUUGCAUGAUGAACAAGAGAAACCGCUGUGAAGUUACAGAGUCUCAUGCAAGAUGUUCAGCUCCCUCCACACCAAAUGCAGAGGGUGAACAAAAUGAAUCAAACAUCCAAUAUGCGGCGGUGAGACAAAGAAACAACCUUGAGACUGAAUGCACACUCAACUAUAAAGCAGUAGGAGUGUACGUGCUUCAAAGUGGUACGAAGCAGGCCUAUGAGACGCUGAGGUCAUUUUAUCACUUUCUCUUUCUUGUGACAUGUUACUUCGAACUGGAAUCACCUCAGACUGAUUUAACUGUAUUCAGAGGGGAAAAGUUACAUUUCCAUCAAAGUCUAAAUUAUUGUAUUUUCGUGCUUGUAUGUGAGAGAUAACUAUAUAUAUAGGCUGUUUUAUGAAGGAAAGGAAAAAAACUAAGGAAGGGAUGACGUAGAGAACAGUUACAGGACUAAAAAAGAUUUGUUCAUUU